AAUGAACGCUGGCGGCAUGCCUAACACAUGCAAGUCGAACGAGACCUUCGGGUCUAGUGGCGCACGGGUGCGUAACGCGUGGGAAUCUGCCCUUGGGUUCGGAAUAACAGUUAGAAAUGACUGCUAAUACCGAAUGAUGUCGUAAGACCAAAGAUUCAUCGCCCAGGGAUGAGCCCGCGUAGGAUUAGCUAGUUGGUGUGGUAAAAGCGCACCAAGGCGACGAUCCAGCUGGUCUGAGAGGAUGAUCAGCCACACUGGGACUGAGACACGGCCCAGACUCCUACGGGAGGCAGCAGUGGGGAAUAUUGGACAAUGGGGCAACCCUGAUCCAGCAAUGCCGCGUGGAUGAAGAAGGUCUUCGGAUUGUAAAGUCCUUUCGGCGGGGGACGAUGAUGACGGUACCCGCAGAAGAACGCCCCGGCUAACUUCGUGCCAGCCGCCGCCGUAA
rnacentral:rRNA from 1 species